GAAGAACGCUGGCGGCGUGCUUAACACAAGCAAGUCGAACGAAGUGGCGAACGGGUGAGUAAUACGUGAGUAACCUGCCCUCCUUUUUGGGAUAAGCCUUGGAAACGGGGUUUAAUACCGUAUAAAGGGGGAUGGGCUCGCCGCCUAUCAGCUUGUUGGUGGGGUGAGGGCCUACCAAGGCGGUGACGGGUAGCCGGCCUGAGAGGGUGAACGGCCAGAUUGGGACUGGGGUACGGCCCUGACUGCUACGGGAGGCAGGAGGGGGGGAUAUUGGACAAUGGGCGGAAGCCUGGUGCGGCGGCGCCGCGUGGGGGAAGAAGUCUUUCUGGUUGUAAACCUCUUUCGCUAUGGAACGGGUAGGUUGUGAAGAAGCGCCUGCUAACUACGUUCCAGCAGCCGCGGUAAUAC
rnacentral:rRNA from 1 species